UACGUAGGGUGCAAGCGUUGUCCGGAAUUAUUGGGCGUAAAGAGCUCGUAGGCGGUCUGUCGCGUCUGCUGUGAAAACUCAGGGCUUAACCCUGAGCUUGCAGUGGGUACGGGCAGACUAGAGUGCGGUAGGGGAGACUGGAAUUCCUGGUGUAGCGGUGAAAUGCGCAGAUAUCAGGAGGAACACCGGUGGCGAAGGCGGGGUCUCUGGGCCGUAACUGACGCUGGAGGAGCGGAAA
rnacentral:rRNA from 1 species